GGAGGUGUGGCUCAGUGGGAGAGUGCUUGCCUGGCAUGUGUGAGGUAGGCCUGGGUUCCAUCCCCAGCACCAUUA
rnacentral:tRNA from 1 species